rnacentral:rRNA from 1 species
GAAGCGGCAACAGCUCAAAUUUGAAAUCUGGCACCAGCCCGAGUUGUAAUUUGUAGAGGAUGCUUCUGGGCAGCGGCCGUUCUAAGUUCCUUGGAACAGGACGUCAUAGAGGGUGAGAAUCCCGUAUGUGACCGGCACGUACCCUCCACGUAGCUCCUUCGACGAGUCGAGUUGUUUGGGAAUGCAGCUCUAAAUGGGAGGUAAAUUUCUUCUAAAGCUAAAUACCGGCCAGAGACCGAUAGCGCACAAGUAGAGUGAUCGAAAGAUGAAAAGCACUUUGGAAAGAGAGUUAAAAAGCACGUGAAAUUGUUGAAAGGGAAGCGCUUGCAACCAGACUUCGUGGCGGUGUUCCGCCGGUCUUCUGACCGGUCCACUCGCCGCCGCGAGGCCAGCAUCGUCUGGGGCCGCCGGAUAAGACCUUGGGAAUGUAGCUCGCCUCGGUGAGUAUUAUAGCCCAUGGUGAUACGGCGCGCCCCGGGCGAGGUCCGCGCUUCGGCAAGGAUGCUGGCGUAAUGGUUGUCAGCGGCCCGUCUUGAAACACGGACCAAGGAGUCUAACAUCUAUGCGAGUGUUCGGGUGUCAAACCCCUACGCGUAAUGAAAGUGAACGGAGGUGGGAAGCGCAAGCUGCACCAUCGACCGAUCCUGAUGUCCUCGGAUGGAUUUGAGUAAGAGCAUAGCUGUUGGGACCCGAAAGAUGGUGAACUAUGCCUGAAUAGGGUGAAGCCAGAGGAAACUCUGGUGGA